AAGUGGCCCGCUCGAUGCGCGGGCUAGACUUUUUAAAAGUUUAAUAAUGAGGACAUAUUAUUUGAUUUGUAGGAAAACGUUUGAACCAAAUGUGAUGCAAAUAUAAGUCUUCUACAAAUAUAAUUUUCUUAAGGUACAGUUGGUUAAAAUAACUUAAUAUUUGGGAGAGUGCCUAUUUUGUACUCCCAAAUAUUGACUUAUUGUUAAAAUAAGUUUAAUGGUGUGAAUAAUAAAAUAAUUUUAUAUAGCCAGUAAAUUUGGAAUUCUUUUUGGGUGCAAGAUGUUGGAGUGUGUGGUGCUCGUGAUAAAUUUUAGGAAAUUUAUCUUUUUUUUGCCAUGACCUCCUUGAAUGUCCAAACACCCUGAAAUUUUGCACAGACAUCGAACAUUUGAGCCUCUUGGAUAACAAAAAAUUCAGAUUUUUUGAACUUUUCUGCUAAUUUUUUUAGUGUACUCUUCACCGGAUGUAUAUGAGCCUGGGCUCCGAAUUCAAGUAUCAAAUAUUUAGUAGCGCUAUAGCGUUAUGGGUUUGCCUUGAAUUGGGGCUUUCAAUAUAAGAGGAAUUCCUCUUUCGCGUUAGAUGAAAAAUCGAGAGGGCACUUUUGCUUUGAAUUGUUUGGAGAGAACGUGGGUUUAGUUGAUCAUGUUUUGUGGUGUUUCUUUGAUGGUAGUUUAUGUUGCUGACACACGUCGCGCCGUAGUAAAUUCUUUCAUUCUUAAUUUUAAGUCAAAACAUAAACUCUUCGUACGGUUUCGUGAUUUUUUUUCAAAAGAUAAUGCACUAUAUGUUUGGUUGGAUAUGUUUUAACUAAUUUGUAGGGUAAAAAAUAUAUUUAGGCAAACACACAUAUAUGCGAUGUAUAUAUUUAUACAGUAUGUACACUGUAUGUAAUCAUAGGUUAUUUUUUAGGAUAAAUCAUAGGUUAUUAGUAGGAUACCUUUUGGCAAAAAACAAAAAAAAUUCCUGCCGGUAUGCUUAUUUUGGAGUUAGCCAAACAGGAUUUCGUAGAUGCACAUAGCGUCCACACAUCUUCUUUCCCACUUACACUUUCACACAGUCCAGAUCCCCUUUCUCCUUUCCUCCGUUGACUACAAAAUUUCUGCCGCUGGAUAAGCUUGUCGUCCUCACGAGCAGCCAUGGCAGCAGCUCGACUCGUUUGUGCCGACGCAGGGUAAUCAUCUACGGCGGCUGGCUUAGCUCCUCGUACGACUCCUCGGUCUCCUAGCAGCUGGGUGCCGUCGCGCUAUCGGUGUCCGUGCAGUUGAUUUGGGCGUGGAUUUUGUCUCUCGCUACUGUCUUGGAUCCAGCUCGAUUAUGAGGAAGGAGGCAACGUUGUCUUCCCCAAGUGCGAGGCAGACGCAUCGUGGCUAUUCUCGCUCGAUGCUACUCGGCAAGUCGUCGUCAUCCUCCACUGCGUCAACAUUCUUCGAAGUUAGAACUUCGACCUGCUGUUGAGCAAGGCUAUAAUUCUGUGAAGAUGGUACUUACUGGAGGUGGUUUGAUCGCUCAACUGAGCCGAUUGCAGUUGAGGCGAGUCAACAGGAGAAUGGGCCAUUGGAGGGCUGGUUGCCGCUGGAGGAAGACAAUGUCAAAGUGCCACUUGUUGGAUAUGCGGGGUGAUCUGAAGUCAGACAGGACAAUCAAUAAUUGACGCUUUUUAAAGGGAAGGUAUUUUAGGUUGGCUGAGUUAUUUGACAUGUGCACGACGGAAAGAGAGAUUGUUUCGAUCGUGAGAGUUUUGUUCUAUUUGUAGACAGAUUUUAUCUCUUUACACGAUCGUGAGAGGUUGGUUAUAUUUUGAAAAA